rnacentral:lncRNA from 1 species
AACAAAAUGAGAACAUAGGUAGGAUUUUUGAACCGAUAAAGAAAUUAAUCACAAGUUCUUUGUUCUCUUCGAUGCGGCUAAGUGUAAGGAUCAAAUCGAAUUGAUUUAAACAUAAGGAUAGACAAAGAACACAAAAGAAAGGAAGGAUGUGGGCCAUAAGUCUAUGCUCGUUAAGAAAGAAAAUUUGUUGAUCAAGUAUUAAUAUAAUUCCUUCA